UAGCCCAUAAAUCGAUAUUAGUGUUGGUCCUUACAUGGAUAUAGACAGCAGUUGGAAUACGUAAAACUAAAAUUGGCACAGCUCUUGGCCACUGGAGUUGAUAUUGCUCCCGUUUCUGCUCUUGCAGCUCCCGCUGCAGCUGCUGCAUCUGCUACUAUUGGUGUUGCUGUUGUGCAUUGACAAGGAAAGUGAAUAUCGAUAGUGAUACCCCGACAUGACCCACGCAACGACAUCAGCACACACUGAAUAUCAAGGAUCUAAUAUGUGAAACAGCCUUCUCAAUCAGUCUUCCAUUUUAGAUAAUUCUCAGAAAAUAUUGGUUUAACACUACUGAAUGUAACUGAACUACUUUGUCCUAUAUUUUUUAUAUAAAUUAUUUGUAAACAAAAUAUAAGCAGAUAAUUUAGCACUUAAAGUCAAAUACCUCCUUUCUUCCUAUCUCAAUCUUUGACCUUUUUCUGUCUCCAUAUAUUUCGCUCUAGAAGGAUGCAUUUUAUCCUUGAAUAGGGCAUUUAGAGUCCUUCUUCAACCAUUCGCUUCAUUUAAAUGCAGCCGUUGGUUCUGCCCAUUUGUGUCACUAUAACGCAGCCAAGUUGCAACAUUUGUCGCUUCUGCUGCUGUUGCUGCUGCUGCUGCCUUUGUUGUUGCUGGCUAUUUUAGCUAGUGUCGUUGCUGCAGUUGUUUCACAGUUGAUUAAACCAAUUUUUGUAUAUCGUCAAGCCAGAGCGGAGCAUAGUGGAAGGUUUAGCCUCGUGAUGGAUAUUGCUGUCAUGUAGAUGCGACCCCGCAUCCUUGCACCAUUUCUCGUGCGGAUGGUGGUGGAUGGUGCUGCGGAUGGCGUUUGGCCACUGCCCAUUUUUGGGUCGAACGAAAUCAAAUUUUGAAAAUGGAUCCCCUCGUCGCCAGUGAGAGAGAGCCCGAUGUCCGGAUAACCAGUGUCCUGUGUCCUGUGUCCAGGAUCCACUAUUUGCCAGCCCAGCCCCAACUGCCAGCGAAUCGCCUGUGUAGUGGCAUUUGCCAGUUAACGACAAUUUGGCCAAGUGCUUUGGUAGUUGCUUUUUAUUUUCAUUUUCAUUCGAAAUUGACAUUUUGCUAAUCGAAAAUGCAGCAAACAAUUUGCCAGCUUGGGCAAAACUUUUGCAAUUAUUUUGCACAGCUCAACGGAAAAAACAAUGGGGCUGAAUCUGGGGUUUUCCAAGGCAAAAAAAAAAAAACCAAAAAAAAAAGAAAAAAUGCUAAAGAAACCGAAACAAAAUCCAAAGCCCGAUGCCAUUUAUUGAUUUACUUCUCACUAACAAUAGGCAGGGCCAGGGCAAAUAAAUAAAAAUAAAAAUAAGCAUAACAACAACCAAUAACCAACCAAGUAACGGAAACAACAACUGACGGGAUGUGGUUGAGUUGGCCUGGCUUUCGGUUCUACUCUGUUGUAUUUCAGUUCAGUUCAGUUCGUUUCGUUUCGUUUCGACUUGCUUUGCUUGGUUUGGUUUAGUUUUGGCUUUUUUGGCCAGCUCUGACUGCAAGAAAUAAACUUUCUUGAUAAAUGACUUCAAUGUAAUUAAUUUCUGCUCAGCUCUCUCGCUUGCAGCCAAAAAAUGGAUGGGCAGGAUGGCAGGGCCAGACAAUUCCCUGGUACGGCAGGAUCUGGUAUCCUGGUAUCCUGGUGUUUUGCGGCAACCUCAGACUCAUGAGCUAUAUGCUGUCACUGCUAAUGUUAGUGGGUUUGCCCUCCGGCAUUUCAAUUAAGAAAUAUUGUUUAAACAUAUGCUGAUGCUGAUGCUUCAGAUACUGAUGAUGAUGCAACUUUAGUGCUAAGCUGAUUAUAACUGCAAGUGGAUUCACUCCGGGAGCCACAGCUGCGGAACUUAUUGCUCAUCCGCCCUGCGGUUCGGUCAACCGCUCACAGACUUCAAUGUUAAUUAACUUGUUUUUAAUCCAAUUAAUAUGCACAGCACAAGACCAUUGACCAAAGGGACUUUGAAUGAGUCUUGGACUCUAAUUAAAACUUUUGAUCCAUCCCAGAGAAUUUCAUUUCUAAGAACCGUAGGGCCAGAAACCCACAUAACUACCUUUCUUACUCCCUUCACAUAUUAUAAAAGUCUUGCGGCAAAAAAUAGUAAUUAACAAUAAGGAAUAGAAAUUUGAGAUAAUCACAAGCUAUCGUGUUGUAUUUUGUCUAUUAUUAUGCUAAAAAGGAUGGACUUAAAAUACACCGUAUAUCUAUUAUUUGAAAAUAAAUUCGGUGGCUAUACAUGCUCUUUAAUGUAUAUAUGUAAAUAUAACAAAAUUCCUUCUUCGAAUUCAUAGAUUUUGGGGGCUCUAAUGUUAGCCUGUGCUGCUAAAGCGGAGAUUGCCUGAAAGUUACAAACAAACAAUAAAACUUUGCUGCAGUCAUUUUUCAAGGCACGAAGAGGAAGGUGUUAGUGGCAAAGUCCCAAACCCGUUACGAGUAUCCUUUAAUGUAAUAAAGCCUGCACGAUCCGAAUGCGGAAUGCGGAGUCGAAAGGGAAACUGUUUUGCCGCCGGACGAAUCUUUAAACUUGCCCUUGCCCAGGGUGUAUCUCUCGGAUAGUAGGUACGUGUGCCUGCACAGAUUUGUAUCCGCAUUCUGGAAAUCUUUAUGGGCUUUUUGUAAGAGUUGGCAGGCAGUCGGAAAUAAAUAAAAUCACACAUAGCACCGGAUAAGCCGACGGAUGGGAACAGGGGGGAACAGGUGCGCACAUGCAUGAAAGGUAAAAUAUGUUUAUAUAAAUAAAGGACCGAAGUAUUGGAGGUGCUUGGUGGUGUGAGUUGGUGUGGGGUAAAGAUCCCAAACAAAGUUUGAAGUUCAGCAACAUAAAGAAGUGCAAAUUGUUGCGUGCUGCGAUUGUAUCUAUCGAAUGUGAGCACACGAAAGCUAUUUCCUGCCAACAAAUAUAAACGCCGCAAUAAAAAGGAACAACGGCCACGACGACUUCAAUGGCAAUAGCUACGCCCAUAAAGCAGGCGCGACAAUGAGUCGAGGGGAUGCCAAAAACUUUGUUGCCAAAACAAACAAAAACAACAGCAGAAGCAGCAACAACACGGGGAACAGGGAAAAAGUUGUAAACUGAAAUGAUUAUCUGGUGCCUGACACUUGUCUAGCCAUAGAUACACGUAUCUCUCUAUACGGCGAUUUGUUUUUAGGCAGGUAAAUAACCGAAAUGUUUAACCCCCAACGGAAUGCGAGUCACAUCUCUUCCGAGCAUUUGCUUUAGUUCGUUUUUAUUUGUGCGCACAAUGUGCGGCUUGAUUUUUGCCGCAUUUAUGGGGUGUGUUUAGAGUUAACUAACCAUUCAGCUACAGAUACGGUCUACGCAUGGUAUGAAGUAAUCCAAGUAUGUGAGCUAUCAUAGCAAGAAGUCGUAGUAACCUUCUAGAUCAUACAGCUUCAAAAUAUGCGCGUGUUAUAUUCGUUAAUUGGAAUUCCAUUUCUAUCGGUUUUGAUUUUGAAAACUAUGACACUUGAAUCUGCCUGAGUGAAUCAUUUGAGUGCUGGCCCUAAGCUUCCAGCACAUUAACUAUGUGCUUUGCCACGAGUUUGAGGCCAUCCGGAAAUGGGUCAAUGACAGGCCCCAGAUCGCCGCACUGUCAUUUGCAUACAGACAUAUACAUGUAUAUCCAAAGCGAUGGGACAACUCUUUGCAGACUGAUAAAUAUUUAUGUUUAUUUUUAGUUUUGCACAUGCGAAGAGGAGCAAAAAAAAUGCGAAUUUCCACAAAAUUUUACGCUCAAUAAAUUUGCACAACAAAAAUUUCGCCGGACAGCCCCGAAGCCGAAAAAUGCGCUCAUGUGUUAGUAAUGGCCGCACAUUUCGUGGAGGAGUAAAAUGUUUUACCAAAUAGUUAGCAAAUAAUUCGGUGCAGCCCAUUCUCCAUUCGGUGAGCUGCAAAUGGGCAAAUAAUUUGGCACAAGUCAAAGGCGGAUUCCUCUUCAGGGCAGCUCGGCUGUAGGCCUUAAACCGUUUAACAUAAUUUCCCUUGGCCACAUUGUGUAUACGCCUCGUGGACUCGGCCAUAGAGGAGGAAAAUUGCAUUGCGGGAAACAGGCUUAAAUGGCUAAUAACAAAUUGUUUGCAUUUAAAUUCCAUUUUCACAUAAUUUUCAAGCUCCUAAAAAUUGAAAGGCUGCCGCACAACUUAAUCAACCGACUUUAACACACUCGAGACAAACUGGCGCACACACACAUGCUGGCAUAUUUGUUUGCCGGCUUAAAUUUUGCAUCCAGCCUGCUUGGAUGGCAAAAUAUAAUUCAGAAAUCCAACAAACAAUUUCCUGGGUGUAACCGCAAAAUGUUCGAGCUUGUUGAAAUGGCCAGAAAUGUUCAUAGAUCGUUUGUUAUGCUCGUUGGUUUGGUUUUCCCAAUGUUGCUACUAUACUUUGCCAGGGAUUUGUAUGUGCAUGUGGGGGCCUUUUGCCAUCAGCUAAGCGCUUUUGUAUUUAAUGAAGCCUAUUUUUCUUACCGAACAUGAGCCGCAAUUAUUACGAGUCAUUAGUUGCCUGUUUUCCUGUUAGAAGUUCCUGCUCCAUAGCACAACAGACAGUAGCGCUAACAGUGGGAAUUCGGAAGUAGUCCAAAAUAUUUUGGAAAUUCCAUUUUUUAUAAACAAAAAUAUUCACCUUUUAGAGCAAAGUUAAGAAAAUAGGAAAUAAUAUUUAUUCAUUUGAUUAGAUCACUUAAAAGUGAUCCACAUUACUUUAUUAAACGAAAACUUGUAUAGUUUGUAUGUGAACAUGGAUCAAAAACAAGCUUAAUAAGUAAGUUACUCAAUCGAUAUGAUGUCGGCUAUUUGAAGGCCAUUGUGCAGUUGUUUAGGCCUGUCCUAUUUCGAGUAGCAUACAUUUGUGAGUUUCCAGCUGUUGCAUAAGACAUGUGCAUACACUGAGGCAAACCGGUGCCCACUCAACCCACAUCUGGCCCAAUUAAGCUGUCACAAUGUCGGUGGAAAACCGUGCGCCACCCAGUUAUGAACGAUUUUACCAGUGUCGUAUUUUUGCAACCAUGGGUGUUCAAUGGGUAUUCGCAAUUUCCCACUGGCCUGAGUCAGCGUAUUUGGCCAGCGAUGUUAAUUGAAAUUUGUGAAUUCAAAAUUCUAGUUUACAGCUGGCCUGGCCGAAAAAGCCAUGUACGAUGCAAUGAAAUAACGUCGAAAUACGAGGCAGACGGCCACGAAAUCAGCUUUGACAAAUAACUGAUCAGGCAAGCGAAUCGCUGCAGCAGCAGAAUGGGUUGCCGAUUGCAAUUAAAACGUGUUCCAAUCGGUAUGAAUGAUAAAAUUUAAGGGGCCAAGAAAUAUGAACGGCUGUCUUUUGUUUGAACUGAAUCGCAUAAUAAUUACGAGCUAAACCAGUGAUCCGAUUUCAAUGCAAUCAGCCUGGCAACCUCAACAGCUACACACGCGUAUGUAUUUCCAUUAACAACUCUACAAAUAGUUCUAAACUGAUUGCUCUCUAAUUACAGUGCAAAUUAAGAGGGAAAUUAAUUGCUAUUGUGGAGUAUUUUCAGCCAAUCGGGCUGAGCUAAUAUUAAAUAAUGGUUAUCCUUCCUAAUUGCCGACCACCUUUUACGUGAACUUUCUCGAAAUAUGCACUGCCUGAUCUGUGCACUUUGAACCGGGGGAAAUUAGCAAUUGCCGGGCAAUUACCUGCCGUGUGCAAUGAUUAGGCCCGCUAAUAGCUUAUACAACUACCCUAUAGAACUACCUAAAACCAUCACGCUCUUGACCUCCGAAUUAUCUAGAACCUGGGUGCAUCUCGAGGAAUGUGCAUCCCCAAGUAGCAAACAAUGAAGUCAUCAUCGCGAAUUCGAAAAAGGGGCUGGGACUUGGCCAACUGAGACCCAAUAUAUCAACAGUCACUUCUAGCCGUUCACUCAGCCACAGUUUGGUGUGAAAAAACCGGAUUCGGACUUGUUAGCCAACACGCCUAUGACAGAUCUGUCAUGAAAUGGGGGUCAGCAAAGGUUGCCCUUUGGCUGGCUAUCGUCUUAUAGCCAUUGCCGUUUCGCAAGUACCCAUAACCGGCAGCUCGUGCGGUAAAGUUUCCGUAUCUUUGACUUACGACCCAGCACUUGAGGCCUGCACUUGGCAAUGAAUAUGGCCCGUUGUUUGCCCAAAUGGAGACUCGAUUGACCAGGCAUACUCUAAAACCUAUGCACAAUUCUUUAACUAACAGAUGGCUUACAUUUUAAGAUGAAAGCAGAUAAAGACAGUUAUCAACUAUAAGCAAUACUCUAUUUCUCAGUUUCACACUUUUCGCAUUAUCUUUUAGGGAAGCUGAGCUGUUUUCUAAACAUUUUCUUUCAGUGCAAUGACGUCUGAAUACUUCGCAUGCGGUGCCGGCUUAUAUGAAAUGCAAAUGAUUGCAAAGUGUAUGCAAUUUGAACACUACCCAUUAAAUUAAAUAUAAACACUGUGAUAUAUCCAUGGAAAUCUAGAAGCUUCAAGCAUGCGAAUGUGAUUUCUAUUUAUGAGCACACGAGCUGUGUGUGUCUGGGUUCAUAAAUUUUCCAGCUUUCAAUUGAAUCGCAUGUGCGCAAUGUCCGGGAAAUUGGCUAAGGUCAGUUACGGCCGUUGUACAAGACAAUGUCCAAUGUCCGAUGUGCAAUGUCACAAGGGCAAAGGAUUGCAUCGUGAUUCUUAGUUCCCACUCGGUGAUUUUCACACAUUCCCAGUAGUUUUUGCCACACCCGCACCAUUGAGCCCUCAAACACGUUGAAAUAUUUAUGUCUUUGCAUAUUUCACCGACACAUUUGCACUUGACAAUAACAACAGGGAGGAACAAGCGAAGCAGUCGCUAGGUCGUCGGUGCAUGACAAGGAUUAGCGUGGAGGGGAUGACGACCAGGACUACAAGGACAACGAGGACUGGGAUGACGACUACGACGACGACGGCGACGAUGAUGAUGAUGAUGAUAUUGUACUGCUGUUGCUGGUGACAAUCAGUGCAAAAGAGGGAAAGAUGCAUAGCAGCCUAGCUGCACAGAGAACAAAAGCCACAAAUAAUAUCUAACUCAUCCAUAAAAGGUUUAAAACUAAAUUAACAGAAUGCGCAUAAAACUGAAUGCGCACUUUAAAGCAAUACAGAAUUAAAAUCAAUGUGAAAAAUCAAGAAAUAAAGGAGGAAAGAUUGUAGAUCUCAUGGAUAUUUCUUAGCUAUGACUUUAACUUAAAUCUUUCAAAGCACGGAAUCUUACAAAUACUCCCUAGUUUUCCCUUUUAUCUCAGUGCUACGAAGCAGUUUCAGAAGCAAACCCCCGAGAAACUGGCGCCGCCGUCAGCAGCAUCAAGACAUAAAGUGCAUUGCGUCUGGGCGCUUAUCGGGGGAGCGAAAACUUGGGGCUGGGGGCUGGGUUUAGGUAUCAUCAGACAGCAAAUAACAUGCCAGAUGCAACUGCAGAUGCAGCUGCACACAAAGUGUUGCUGUUAUAUGUACGGCAAACGCAACACACAGCCGUAGGGGAAAUGCGCAGGGAGUCUAGAACAAAUCUGUGUGACACCGACAAUCACUUUUCAGCCCAGCAGUUCACAUAAGCAAACAAACAAUGCGGCAAGCGCGGCUCACAUUCAACAUUUGGCAAAUCGAUAUAUGAAAAUCGUAUACGCCGUGUGGUAAGCUUGAAGUCAAAAUCCUGGCAAACGCACUCGCCCCCAAAAGCCAACAGAAAAAAAAAUACGAAGGGAUUCAAGGACCUCAACUGUUUAGCAUUUAUUUGCAUACAAGAAGAAGAUUGCGCGCCCGCUUGUUUGCUCUUUUCUGGCUGAGUGUGUAAAUAUUUAAAAGCUUUUAUUGCUUUCCUCCUGGCGGGGCCAAAAAAUUUCAUUCAUAUUCGUGAAUGGCAAUAGCAGACACUGGGCAAAUUAUGGCCUCUUCAAAGCUUUAAAGGCCUUUUAAGGCUCUUCGCCCCCAGGGGAGAAGGGCAAGAAAGUUGUUCAAUCGAAACGACAAUUAAUUGGCUAAAAUAAAUAUUCACGACAAAAGGUCUCCGGGGUCUCCUGAAACAGUAAAAUAAGGAAAUAAAUAAAGGGCAGCAAAACGAGCGUCAAAUGCACAUGAAAUGCACAAGUCAAAAGCCAUUUUGUUUUACCAUAAAAAUGAAAAUACAAAUUUAUUUGAUUGCAUUUUUAUACACAACGCUCCGUCUCCAUAUUCAUACAUACAGUUGUAUACGAAAUAAUAGGCAAAUGUUUAUUAUACGUUAAUUUAAAAUCGUUUCAUUACUAUUAAUAAAUUAUCUACAACGUCUCAGACCAUAAAAUUAAAUUUAUUUAAUUCAGUGAGGUAGUGAAAACCACUCAUAUUUAAAAAUCCAAUCUUUUGGCAGCGCUUUUACUUUGUUGAACACAGCUGUGUUUUCUGGAUAGAGGUAUAAAUAAAUAUCGGUGACAAAUGCUUUGUAUUUCUCUUUUAUUCAAGUGUUUGCAAUGACUAUAGCCUGGAAUUGUUUGGCUAUGAUUUAACUAACCGAAAAAAGAGGGUCAUUCGUUUGGGACUUUAAUAAUUCUGCAGUAAUUACUUUGCCUGGCAUUCAGUAUUCAAUUAGCAUUCUUUUAUAGAGUUCGCAUUGUAAUAAUUCACAGACGACCUCAUGCGAGCUGCAGAGACUAUAAUUUCAGUUAACGUUUUGAUGUGUGAAUUGUGCAAACAUUUUCCAAACAAUUAUGCACAGAUUUCCACGCUCAUUUUCAAGGUUCAACUGUAUUUUCAACUAUAUUUAGUCAACACCAACGGCCAACAGACCAACAAACCAGUAAACCAACAACAGUGGCAAUAACAAUUAAAAAUGCGCUGGCAUUGCAUUUUAUUCGGUUUAACAGUUGAGCGCUUUCAGUCAAAAACAAACACUUCCCAAAAAAUGGAAACUAGAAGAGGGUGAAGUAGAGCUGUGAUCCAAUUCCAAGCCACGGCUUUCAGCAUUCAGCUCCCAGCUGAGCUUAGUUGCUUAGUCAACUUUGCUGGGUGAGUAAUCGCUGAAACUGAAUUCUACUUUACUUGCUUUACUUCUGUGUUUUUGGUUUUUUUCCUUGCUUGGGCAAGACCACCAACCGAAAAGGCCAGACUGUAAGCGGCUUUUAGCAGGGAGAAGCGUUCAAGUGUCACUUGAAAGAGUCAUUAACCCGGAAUAAUCUGUCGAGAGUGACUUAAGGAGUCGCCUCGGGGCACGUUGAUGAGCGGUGGAAAGGCGAAUAGUAGAGUUUUCAAUUAAGACGGUGACAAAAGGAAAUUCAAUUAAGUGCUGCGAUUUGCGAAUCGCAAUGCCAUCCAUAAAGCGUUCUCUCAGUGUCACCGAUCUGUAAACCCUUGAAAAUCAUGUCAUCGCACUUUCCGUCCAUUUCAUUCAUAAAACAACACCGAAUUCCGUUCGCCAAAUGAAAUCACGGCCCAUCGUUUGGCACUUCAUAUUCGGUGUGCCCCUAGGAGACCAAUUCCAACCGCCGAAAAAAAAAAUUGGGAGGAGGAGUAUCUGAAAAAACCAGCUUUGAAAUGAAAUGCAAAUGGGGAGCCCUAAAAAAGCGUUGCAAUGUCGGAAUGAAAAGCGGCUACAUAUGCCUGUUUAUAUGCAAAUAUUACAUAUCGUACAUAUGUGCGUAAACAUUUGGCAAUUACUCGGCACCGGAGCGGUGUCUUUGUUUCUUUUAUUUUUUUUGCUGCCUGGAGGCCGCUGUUUGUUCUAUUUGCUCAUAUACAAAGUAUGCAAAAAUACACGCUCGUAACAUAUACACACAUAGCCGAAUGGCGGCGACCUUUCGUCUCGUUUUGCUUCUGGGGAAUUUCAAUUUAAAUUCUGAUUAAAUUUCUGUGCGCUUCAAUGCA